UACGUAGGGAGCAAGCGUUGUUCGGAUUUACUGGGCGUAAAGGGCGCGUAGGCGGCGUGUCAAGUCGAUUGUGAAUCUCCGGGCUUAACUCGGAACGGCCAAUCGAUACUGACGUGCUAGAGUGCAGAAAGGGCAAUCGGAAUUCUUGGUGUAGCGGUGAAAUGCGUAGAUAUCAAGAGGAACACCUGAGGCGAAGGCGGGUUGCUAGGCUGACACUGACGCUGAGUGCGCGAAAGCCAGGGGAGCAAACGGG
rnacentral:rRNA from 1 species